rnacentral:misc_RNA from 1 species
CAAACUACAAAGCUAAUAAGAUAAAGAAAAGAACAAAAACAUUACUUGUCUGCAUUUCUCUUGUCUACUUCUCUGCGCUUCUCGUCUCAAAUCUUGUAUAUGUACUCUCUUUCAAAGUCAUCUCUUUUCCUGCUAGAGAAAAGAUUUCCAACUCCUUAGAGCUGAAUUCGUCUCUUCCUGGGUAUCUUCGAUUGGGGUCGUCUUCUCUGUUCUGCAGAUGGGUUUUCUGUUGAGAUAGCUAUUGGUUUGUGAGUGGAAGAGAAGAAUUGGAAACCAAAAAGAAUAAAAGAAAAUGUCUUUGAAGAGUAGAGGAGAGCAGAACUCUUCUAAAAGUGUUAUAUCACAGAAAUGGACCCUUUUCCUUUGCUUGUUUUGUUUCUGUGCUGGAAUGCUCUUCACCAAUAGGAUGUGGACAGUUCCUGAGUCCAAAGGUAUCACUAGGACAACUGCAAUGGAAGCCGAGAAGCUAAAGUUGGUUUCAGAGGGUUGUGGAAUUAGAACU